AAGGCUUUAAGUUAACGAAACUAAUAGCCUUCAAAGCUAUAAAUAAAGAGGAUAUUCUUUAAGCCUUA
rnacentral:tRNA from 1 species